UGGGUGUCUGCAUUCUUUGGAUGUUCCUGU
rnacentral:piRNA from 1 species